rnacentral:rRNA from 1 species
AUAGAAACCGACCUGGCUUACACCGGUUUAAACUCAGAUCAUGUAAAAUUUUAAAGGUCGAACAGACCUAACCUAUUAGCUUCUCCACCAAUAAUUAAUUUUAAUCCAACAUCGAGGUCGCAAUCUUUUUUUUCGAUAAGAACUCUAAAAAAAAUUACGCUGUUAUCCCUAAGGUAAUUUAUUCUUUUAAUCUAAACUUUAGGAUCAUAAACAUAUGAAUUAAUAUAAUACAAAAAAGAAAAGUUAUUCCAAUUUUCCUAUCACCCCAACAAAAUAAAUAAAACCAUAUAUAUAUACAUUAACCUUUAUCCUCAUAAACAUUUUUUAUUCAUAAAACUCUAUAGGGUCUUCUCGUCUUCUACAAAAAUCUAAGCUUUUUUACUUAAAAAUAAAAUUUUAAUAAAUUUUCCUAGAGACAGCUAUUUUCUCAUCAAACCUUUCAUACAAGCUCCCAAUUAAAAAACUAUUGACUAUGCUACCUUUGCACGGUCAAAAUACCGCGGCCAUUCAACAUAUCAGCGGGCAGGUCAGACCUGAAAUCAUAAUCAACAAGCCAUGUUUUUAAUAAACAGG